UACGUAGGGUGCGAGCGUUGUCCGGAAUUAUUGGGCGUAAAGAGCUCGUAGGCGGUGUGUCGCGUCGGCCGUGAAAACCUGCAGCUUAACUGUGGGCUUGCGGUCGAUACGGGCAUCACUGGAGUUCGGCAGGGGAGACUGGAAUUCCUGGUGUAGCGGUGAAAUGCGCAGAUAUCAGGAGGAACACCGGUGGCGAAGGCGGGACUCUGGGCCGAUACUGACGCUGAGGAGCGAAAGCGUGGGGAGCGAACAGG
rnacentral:rRNA from 1 species